GCUGAUGUGGCCCAGCGGACUACGGCGCCGGUCUUGAAAACCGGUAGUGCUACGCACUGCGUGAGUUCGAAUCUCACCAUCAGCG
rnacentral:tRNA from 1 species